rnacentral:sRNA from 1 species
GCCGGGUGUGGUAGCACACACCUGCAAUCCCAGCCACUCAGAAGGCUGAGGCAGGAGGAUUGCAAAUUUGAGACUAGUCUCAGCAAAUUAGUGAGACCCUGUUUCAA